rnacentral:lncRNA from 1 species
UUGGCCGAUUGGAUCCAAGAGAUUGUUCUUGAGUGUUCCUGGUGUGUUGGGCGUUUGAUCAAGAGGAUGGAUUUGAGACAGAAAGACAAGGAGGAGGCAAAGGAUAAAGAGAAGGAAGACGCCCCUGGAGACCGAACUCCUAAGGUGAGAGGUGUAGCCAAGAGUAACCGGACAAGGCCGCGGAUGAUGGCCGUGUGAGUCUGUCCGGUUUGGAUCGAUUGGCUACUCCUUACUCUGACUUCUUCUACUCUAUUUUCUUCAUGUAUAUUGUACUAGGGAUUGUUUUAUGAUGUUACGGGGAAGGAUCUAUCGAUCUUAAGGCCUAGGCCUGAUCAAAUCCCCAUGAAAGCCCCUUGUUCUUGUGUGGGCUGAUCAUGGCCGAGAUCACCAUGAUCUGAGCCGGUUCUUUUGAAUAUGAUUAUGGGAAUAUUUUUCUUCUGAAUUGUCAUGAAUUAUCAUGAAUUUUAUUUGGUAUUUGGAUCUCUUUUUAAAGGGGUCAGAUUUGACAUUUUUGAUGAUUGUUCUUGUCUAGAUUGGAUCCGACCAUGCAAUGUGAACUGAUUCUUGUUUUGUAAUCUAACCUUGUGAUUGUGUGUUUGUCUGUGUUGUAACCAGGACCAGAAAUGGACCGUGGUAAGGGAAAAGCACCAUGAGGACCGCGGCCAUGGGAAGAUGUGUGGUGAUUGGGUUGAUUCGGAAAAUUGUGUAAUUAUUGUAGCAUAUUGUGCAACUUGUGAACUUAUGCGAUUCUAGUGUGUGAUCUAUUUAUUAGGAUGAUGAAUGAUGUAUGAACCUUGGUUAUUAUCUAUGAAAUAUCUAUUUGCCUUAGUCAAUGUUGGAACCUCAAAACUAUGAAAAAGACUUAGAAUUAUUUAACACUUGAACUUGAAUAUGUAAAUGAAACUGGUUGUAUUGUUUGGUGAGGCUGCGGUCUGGUUGGAUUGAGGAAUCCAGGAUCGGGUCUUACA